GCUCCGGUGGCCUAGUGGUUAGAGCGUCCGCCUCGGAUGCGGGAGGUCGUGGGUUUGAUACCAAAGACUUAGAAAA